UACGUAGGGGGCAAGCGUUGUCCGGAAUCAUUGGGCGUAAAGCGCGCGUAGGCGGCCCGGUAAGUCCGUUGUGAAAGUCGAAGGCUCAACCUUUGAACGCCGAUGGAUACUGCCGGGCUAGAGUCCGGAAGAGGCGAGUGGAAUUCCUGGUGUAGCGGUGGAAUGCGCAGAUAUCAGGAGGAACACCAAUAGCGGAGGCAGCUCGCUGGGACGGUACUGACGCUGAGGCGCGAAAGCGUGGGGAGCGAACAGG
rnacentral:rRNA from 1 species